GCCGGCGUAGCUCAGUUGGUAGAGCAAUUGUUUUGUAAACAAAAGGUCGGGGGUUCGAUUCCUCUCGCCGGCU
rnacentral:tRNA from 1 species